rnacentral:pre_miRNA from 1 species
UUAACUCCAAUUUGUAUGAAGUUGGUACGUUUGCCUACGUUUGCCGCUAGGAGCACUGUUCCACUGCAUACAAAUUUGAGUUA